rnacentral:rRNA from 1 species
AGCGAACGCUGGCGGCAGGCCUAACACAUGCAAGUCGAACGAACUCUUCGGAGUUAGUGGCGGACGGGUGAGUAACACGUGGGAACGUGCCUUUAGGUUCGGAAUAACUCAGGGAAACUUGUGCUAAUACCGAAUGUGCCCUUCGGGGGAAAGAUUUAUCGCCUUUAGAGCGGCCCGCGUCUGAUUAGCUAGUUGGUGGUGUAAUGGACCACCAAGGCGACGAUCAGUAGCUGGUCUGAGAGGAUGAUCAGCCACAUUGGGACUGAGACACGGCCCAAACUCCUACGGGAGGCAGCAGUGGGGAAUCUUGCGCAAUGGGCGAAAGCCUGACGCAGCCAUGCCGCGUGAAUGAUGAAGGUCUUAGGAUUGUAAAAUUCUUUCACCGGGGACGAUAAUGACGGUACCCGGAGAAGAAGCCCCGGCUAACUUCGUGCCAGCCGCCGCAGUAAGAC